UAUGGAAGGCAGCAGUGGGGAAUAUUGCACAAUGGGCGCAAGCCUGAUGCAGCCAUGCCGCGUGUAUGAAGAAAGCCUUCGGGUUGUAAAGUACUUUCAGUCGUGAGGAAGGUGUUAAGGUUAAUAACCUUAGCAAUUGACGUUAGCGACAGAAGAAGCACCGGCUAACUCCGUGCCAGCAGCCGCGGUAAUACGGAGGGUGCGAGCGUUAAUCGGAAUUACUGGGCGUAAAGGGCACGCAGGCGGUUAAUUAAGUUGGAUGUGAAAUCCCCGGGCUUAACCUGGGAAUGGCAUUCAAGACUGGUUAGCUAGAGUCUUGUAGAGGGGGUAGAAUUCCAUGUGUAGCGGUGAAAUGCGUAGAGAUGUGGAGGAAUACCGGUGGCGAAGGCGGCCCCUGGGACAAAGACUGACGCUCAUGUGCGAAAGCGUGGGGAGCAAACAGGGAUUAGAUACC
rnacentral:rRNA from 1 species